GCCUUCAUGGUGUAAUGGUCAGCACACUCGACGCGCAUUCGAGAGGUCCGAGGUUCGAGUCCCGGCGAAGGUA
rfam:Stegodyphus mimosarum contig44144, whole genome shotgun sequence.